CCCAGCUCAGCAGAGUCUGGCACUGACCCCACUAAUGCUGCCCACCGAGGCAGCUGGGAAUGGGGGGUGGGGAAAAGUUUUAAGGAAAUUUGACUCAAGAUGCAGAUUUUCCAGCUUGAACCUAUUAUCCCCGCUGGUGAAAUACUGAAAACUUUCCAGCAUCUUUUUUUCUGCAUUAACUGAAGGAUUUUUUAAACUCAGCAUGAAAAGAAACUACUUAAUAAUAAGGGCCGGCUUCAAAGUGGCUGCAGACAGGAAAUUGGAAGGUGGAUGCUCUCCCUUUAACCCAUCUCACCAUAUGAAUAGUGCUGCAGAGGAGCUGAGGGAUUAAAGAGCUCUCAAGGAUCAGAAGAUGUGUCUCUCUCUAAGGAACAGAGGCAUAUGUGAGUGGUAGGGUGUAAUUUCCUACCCACCUCCAAUUACACUCUCUUGUGAUCCAUCUGUCUGGGAAGCUAUCAGGUAUUGUGUUUUAUAAUUGCUGCUUGUUAAAAAUAUCAUCAUAGCUGGAAGUUUAAAAAAGGAAAUCUCAAAAGACCCUCAAAAAUGAAAGCAAA
rnacentral:lncRNA from 1 species